rnacentral:rRNA from 1 species
UAGGGAAUCUUCCGCAAUGGGCGAAAGCUUGACGGAGCAACGCCGCGUGAGUGAUGAAGGUCUUCGGAUCGUAAAACUCUGUUAUUAGGGAAGAACAAAUGUGUAAGUAACUAUGCACGUCUUGACGGUACCUAAUCAGAAAGCCACGGCUAACUACGUGCCAGCAGCCGCGGUAAUACGUAGGUGGCAAGCGUUAUCCGGAAUUAUUGGGCGUAAAGCGCGCGUAGGCGGUUUUUUAAGUCUGAUGUGAAAGCCAACGGCUCAACCGUGGAGGGUCAUUGGAAACUGGAAAACUUGAGUGCAGAAGAGGAAAGUGGAAUUCCAUGUGUAGCGGUGAAAUGCGCAGAGAUAUGGAGGAACACCAGUGGCGAAGGCGACUUUCUGGUCUGUAACUGACGCUGAUGUGCGAAAGCGUGGGGAUCAAACAGG